rnacentral:lncRNA from 1 species
ACGUUGUAAAUUUAGCGGGACCGAGUAUAACGGUCAAUUGUCUGCUUGUGGAUUCCGUCCCACAUCGGCAAAUUACGACAAUUUCGAAUUGUAUAUAAUAGCUAGUACGAAACUACUAAAUAACUUGGGUUAACCAUUUUGGACCAAGUGAAAAGUGGGUCUAAAAGUUAUUUAGGCCAGUUUGGACCGGCCAGACUGUUUCACAUAACCUUGGAUCGGUUUAUAUCAUGCUCAGUCAGAAGGUAUCUCCCAUUUUUUAAAGCCUUCAAAGACAAAGAUAAGUUUGUAUGAGUGUAACGACCCAGAAACCGGAC